UUCUUAUAUAGAGAAGUGGAGGGACUGGCCCUGCGAAGCUUCAGCAACAGACUCAAUUUGAGAACUGUGCUAAUUCCAGCAGCAUCUAAUGCUGAAAUAUAAGAA
rnacentral:ncRNA from 2 species